UCAGCCUGAGGCCGUUGGUGACCUUCCUGCUCCCAUCAGGCCAGAGCCACCGACCUGAGGGUGAGGGCGCUGCUGAGCCCAGGGGUUGAGAGCGCCCGUUACUGCUGUGGUCCCGGAGCUCCACCUGAGACCUGAGGGAAGCCGUCUGCCUAUGCCUCACACAUGACCUGCAAUCAAGACUGAAAGAAGACAUAAUUUAAGGAACUUUCCAACCUGGAUGGAUGGACCUUUCUAUCAGAGAGAGUGAUUGGUAUGGAACUCAGUGGAUUUGUGGCACUAAUUUAUGGCCUUCACAUCUACAGAGAUGGAUACAAAGGUGUAGCCUGGGAUUCCCAUGAAUUUUAGGUCAUACAUGUUAACGAAAUAGAGGUAACCCUAACCAAUCUACCACUGGUAUGAUCCCAAUGGGUCAAAGAUCUGUAUUGUCCUGGUAUGACCAUUUAGCAGCUUGUGUAUAUGUGUUUGUGUGUGUGCACGCCUUCAGUGGGGUUGGAGGAUAUCAUUGACCAUAUCUAAGCCUUAACAUCUUUCAUAAGCUUUAAGUGAGAGUAACCAGGCUAUUAGCCUAUUGAAUUCUGAGAUCUCUAUGAUGAGAGAGGCAAUGCUACAGUACAACUGCAAGGCCCUUGACACCUUAAAGCAUCUCAGGGAGAUAUCUGUGCUGUAAUGCAAACUGAAUGCUAUAUUUUCAUACCUGGUAAAUCCUUUAAUGUAACACAUUUGAACCACAUGAAAAAUCAUAUUUCUGCUUUAAGUGGCCCAUUCCCUAAUCUUCACGACCUUUUAAGAAAACUGGUGUGGGAGGCUCAUGGAUAAAGUAUUUACUUUUAAUUCCAUUAGUGUUAUUAACUAUACCACUUGUAAUUUGCUUGUUUCACAAGAUUAUCAUUUCAUGUAUUACCAACUGUAUGAACCUCCAACGAAAAUGAUGACUAGACUUGAAGCAGUUGAUCAAAUGUAUAGCUCGAUAUAUGAUCAAUGAUUGUAAUAGUGUAACUCUAGGUUUGAAAAGAUGCAAUGAGAGGGAAUACUUUCCUGGACCAUAGCUAGAAGACAGGUGUCCAGAGAUCUUUGACUAUUAAGACCUAGUCCAGUAAUAGCACAUUGAGUGUCUUAUCAACAAAAACCUUCUUCAUAACUGGGAACGAGCCUUCCCAGCAACGCGGAACAAAAUGGUCAUGAGAUGCCUGCCAAAGUAUGGUCGGAUUUAUGACCACUAGGGGGCCAUGUCAACUACAAGUUGGCAUGUACCAAGAGCAUUGCCAAUGACUGAACAACAAAGGCGUCUACAGAGAUUGAGCCCCAUGCUGCUAUAGCUGGUGACCUUCAACAACCCCUGAGAGAGUUCAGGCUGGAGUGAGGCACUCUCUGCUCCAGGGAAUCUGGUGGGACAGGUCUUUAGAUAGUUGGAUGUUUUUAGGGACAGAUUUUAUGAUCUCAAUCCUUGCAUCUCCUCAUAUCUAGAGAAACACUAAAGCCCUUCCUGGUGAUAUCAGAUCCUCAUGACAAACAAAAAGCCUUUUGUAAAAUGAGUGCUUCAUGGUAUUGAACUCUCCCUUCCCCAAAACCUUAUAUAUUGUCCUUCCCCC